rnacentral:lncRNA from 1 species
ACUCUUCUAUAUUCUGUUGCAUCUCUUGCUGAAAUCUUCUAUAGUUAUCAACGACGGUAUUUGAAAGAAGAGGAGGUCAGCUUACCAAUAUUUCUGCUUAUUUUCUAUUUCCAAUUCUUUUCGAUCAGAUAUGGUCUGUUUGGUAAUUACUUUAAAAGGAGCUUAUUUUAUGAAUUUUACAACAACUGGUUUGUAACUUAUCUUAUUAUCUGAAUUGCUAUCCUUAGUUUUGUUUUUUUUUCUUUCACUUAUUAGUUACUUCAUUUAUUCGUAUAGGCACAAUUAGAUAUUACACUGUUUUUAGUAUUUGUUGAGAUAUUUUUAAAUUUUUAUCAAGUUUAAAAUAAAAAUUAUCUAUUAUAUGAUGUUACGUGAAAAUUACACACAAUAAAAAUUGUUAAAAGGAAAUUCAAUGUAACACUACUUUAAAUUAAAAAGUAAAAAAAAUCAGUUUAUAAAAAAAAAAGUUAAAUUUAAUUAAUAUUCAUUACACCAUCUCAUUUAAAUAAAAUAAAUUACUUGUUUAAUAUAUAUAUAUAUAUAUAUAUAUAUAUAUAUAUAUAUAUAUAUAUAUAUACACACACCUUUGAAAAACAAUUAAACAUUCUAAAUAAUUUAAUACAAAUUUAAUUAUUUAAAAAAAUCUAAAAUUAUAUAUAUAGCUCAGGUACGUUUCCAGUAUUACAUUUCAUAAGGAUGUUAUUUUGUGUUGCAUAAAUAAAGAUGGUGAUAAUGACGCGAUUUAGGUGUGUAUUUUUUUUUUUCAAGUUUUGUAUGAACAAAGAUGGUGACCAUGGUGGCACAACUAGCGAUGAUUGUUGUGUCUCGAAAAGAUUGUUGAAGAGACACUUUGAUUUGCGGUAAUUGACUAUGAAGCAACGAUGUGAAGGUGAUCAUGAUGGCUGUCUAAGAUUUUUGGAUAUGUUGAAAACAAAAUAAGAUUAUGUAAUUGAUCAAGUAAAAAAAAAGUGAAACAGGUCAUUCUGUUAUAUUAUAUUAAUAAUUUAAACAAAAUGAUUAAUAUAAAUCACCAAAAUUAAAACCACUUAAAUAUUUAAAAGAAUAAUUUCACAUUAAACAAAGUCAAACAAAAAUAGAAAAUAA